CUGGGUUACCAGAGACUUCCUAGGUGAUGGCUGUGAGCAAGAAGGGAUCCAGGAGAGAGAAGGCACUGGUGGGGACCACACAGCUUAAGACCAACUAGCCUUGGCCAUCGAGUCCUGGUUGCAGAAGAGAAUAUGGGGCCUGGAUGACCGCUGGAGGAAGAGACAAGACCUUGGGGUGCUCACACCACCUCUGGGAAGUACAUCCAGGCGCACAAUUCUGGGAAUUUUCAAGACCAUUUGUACAGAGGACUCACUUGGACUCAUACCAACCCCAGCUAUGUGGCAAUUCUGUCCCAUGUACAAGGUUACUGUGAACCAGAAGUUCCCUCGGAGCUGAAAGGCUCUUCACUUGUUAACACCACAGAGGUACCCUGCUCUUCUGGUGUCUACAGUCUUAAAGCAUUGCCACUUAGAAAGCCACUUCUAUUCCUGAACUGUGCCUCAAAUUCCGGGCUACGAACCUGACCACCAUCAGAGAUCUCUUCUGGAAACAGUUGAUACCUAGCCUAGCUCUCCUCCCAACCAGGGGACAACAGUGUCAGCAUCCCUCUACUCUGACCAUAGGCCCUGACACAGCCUUUCUGUUCAAGGCCAGAUGCAGGGUACCACUGGUCCUCUGCCCUUUUGGUUUUGCCCCUGAAGAACAGGGCAGACACAGCUCAUUACUUAAACC
rnacentral:lncRNA from 1 species